GAUGAACGUUGGCGGUGUGCCUAAUACAUGCAAGUCGAACGGAGUUAAUAGCAAUAUUGGCUCAGUGGCGAACGGGUGAGUAACGCGUUGGUGAUCUGCCUUGAAGUGUGGAAUAACGUUUCGAAAGGAACGCUAAUACCGCAUGUGCUCUCGAUUUUCAGAAAGUUGAGAGUAAAGGAUUUAUUCGCUUCAAGAGGAGCCUGCGUCCCAUCAGCUGGUUGGUAGGGUAACGGCCUACCAAGGCUAUGACGGGUAGGGGACCUGAGAGGGUGGCCCCCCACAAUGGAACUGAAACACGGUCCAUACACCUACGGGUGGCAGCAGUAGGGAAUAUUAGAAAUGGACGAAAGUCUGAUCUAGCAACACCGCGUGUGCGAAGAAGGCCUUCGGGUCGUAAAGCACUUUUUGGAAGGAAUAGGAAGGAAUGUACUUCCAGAAUAAGUCUCGGCUAACUACGUGCCAGCAGCCGCGGUAAUCGUAGCGUG
rnacentral:rRNA from 1 species